AAUGUAUUCACGUGGCCACACGUCAAUUUAUAAGCUUUUAUUUCUCUGUAAUGACUGGAAGUAAGUAUUUGCAGAGUAAACUCGCCACUUUACAAGGAACCAGUGAGCUGCUCAAACUUUAAACUAUUGGUUACUUUCAGAUGGUUUUGAGAAAUGUGCUGGAGCGAGGUCUGUACGACAAUGCUGUCUUAAACUAGAUCUUGCAGCUUUACAGACAUUUCGAUACGAAAAGCAGACUGUAUUCCCGAUAGAAAUGGCUUCAGUCUCAGAAACAACUACCAAUAAAAACGGCGUACAGAGGUGUUUUUGCUUUAAAUCUAAAUCGAGAUUUCAUAAUCGAGCAAUCAACGAGAAAGUGGUCUUUACAAACCGGCGAGGCAUUUUAAACCACAGGAGCCGGUGGGAACUGAGCGCUGGAAAUGAUUCAUUCAGCUUCUGAUCUUAUUUUGUAUUUUCCCUCCUGCAAUUGUUUUGUUGAAUGAUAAUGUUUUUAGUUCUGCAAUAUUAAUUUUCAGUUGCAUUUUGUCGAACUGCUUAAUAUUUCUGUUAAAUGCUAUGCGAAACUAUUUUAACCUCUAAAACAUUUGUCUGUAAUGUAAUCGCAAUAAAAAACAUUUCUAUUGACAGUAAUGCAUGACCUUAUUGCACCUUGCGCUGGCUUAACGCAACAUUUAUCUAAAUUACUUUACCCUCGGUGGCUCUAUAUGGUCGUUAUAGAAAUAUUGCUUAGCAAUUACGGCAUUAUAAAUUAUUUAAAAGGGAAAUAAAACGGUUACAUCUCACUGUUUAGCUAAAUAAUCACUUUCCUCCACCAAAACUGUGCUGAGCAAGUUCCAUUCUUUAUCUUCUGACCACCGUUCAUAAAAUGAAGACUAUGCUAUGUGAAUUUGUAAAGAGAAUUAAACCUUAAUACCGUUAAAAAAAACACUUGGGUCUUGGGAAAUAGCUCCUGUUUUAUUAUGUUCGACCCCACAAAUGUAAAUAGACCAUUUUAUGCCUUCGCUGAUAAUUUUAUGAGGAGACUUAAGAGAAAAAAACAACUAAGUGCUAAUGCUUGCCACUGUGAGAACUGGGCUUUACGAGGAAUAUAAUCAAACGGGGGUUCGAAGACGUCUUCGAUCACAGCAUAUGUUCAUAGAGCAAUAAAAUGGAGAGAUUUACAAUCUUCGCCUGGCCUCGGCAGCCUUGCGCCCUUUCACGAAUUACGACUGGUGAUUUAUAACAGGGUUGGAAGUUGUUGACCCUCCACACCAUAAUACUUUAUUUCGAUUUAAUGAAAAAGUUGUAAUUAAACCGUUUUCAUUGAUUCUUGUCUGCCUGGUUCUUUGCUGGAUCAGAAUUUAAGGGCAGGGAAUACUGAGUUGUAGUGAGUUUAAAAAAAAACACCAACUUGGCUUCACAACCGCAGAUUUGUCAUCGGCGAAUAACUGAAUUAAUAGGUUAUUGUUUUAAUGCAUAAUUUAUUUAAAAAGGAAACGAACGUCGACUUUACACACGUGACGACAGCACAAAUUCAAUUUCCAGAAGUGCGAUAUGACAAAACGAACGGAAGCAAUAAAUGCGGCGGUUCAUAUUGUAAAAUAUCUCCAAUCAAUUUAAUAAAAUCCUUUUUCAAAGACAUCUGUAUUUGCCACGGCAAUUUAUACAGUUUAAUUACACCUUUAGAGCGGGGUGGAGGAACGGCGCUGUCAAAGCAUGCCACUAAACCCAACAGUGUAAUUUACAGUUAUUGAAGAAUAUUUAUUGGUAUGUUGCGAGUACUUUCGCUGCUGAUUAUGGUGAUACGGUUUGCAGAUUCCUUUCCCUUUACUUCAGAGCAAGUUUAACAUUUCUCCUCGGUGUUGUACCAGAAAAUGUUUACUGAUAAUACCUAAUUAUAAAAUUAUUGCAUGUCACUGUGUGGAAAAGACAAGCUUGGAAUAAAGAGCCCAGAUCAGACUUGUACAUUGCUGCAUCGGAUUAUUUAUAAUAUAUGUAAAGCAUACUUUAAUGCAGUUCCACGCACUCACAGAGAUUCAGAAAAUCAGAACUGUGUUAAUUUAUCACCUUAUAAAAUGCACCCAUGUUUGUUCUUAUUCAGGGUAUCAAUCACUCCCAUUUAUUCUUUAAAUGAGUCUAGCGCACAAGUAUAGUUU